UGCAUAAGUGAAAAAUACUAUCGAUCCUAAGAUCAUUACGAUCGCAGUAGAUACGAAAUUUUCUGACGAGGCUUACGCGAUCAGUGACUAGAAAACCAAUACAAAGUGGAGUUAUGAUCAUGGUGAUGGUAUGCCAUAGUGUUGUUAUACCGGAUAUGAGACUGGAAUAUGCUGGAGCUAUGCAGACUGGCAUUACUCUGAAAAAUAGAAAAGAUACAACCUGCUCGUAUUCCAUCAAAAAUCAAUAAAAAUGAAUAAUAAGUUGUCGUGAGAGAAAUAUUUUUUUGAAAACUUUGGGUCUUUCCAGGUCAGUGUUUUUAAAUUAAAAAAAAAAAAAAUCAUUUUGGAAAAAUUGGAAAGAAUUGAAGAGCUCUUUUUCAUAGGAUUUUAAGAUGCGUCCAAUUGAUUCGAUGGCUCAACUUGGGGCAGUUUGGAAACCAUUUGAUUCUCUAUUCGUCUAUAUCUCUAAAGUGUAAGGAGAUGAAUCGGAGGACAUUUUUUUUUUUUUUUUAGUUACGACUUCGUACCACAAGAUGACGCAUCAAACUCAUUUUUGACCAAAACUGACUCAAACCACUUUGGAUAGGACCUCUUCAAUUGCUCUAAUAUUGAUAUUUUUGACCAAUUUUUAAAAUUAAUUUUCACGUCAACGUUUCAGGAAACGAAGAAGAAAAAAUUGCGUGAAAAAUGGUAUUUUUAGUAGUUUUUUUUUUUUUUUUUUUUUUUUUUGAAGUACAUACCUACAAGAAAUGGCAUGAAAAAGUUUUCAAAGAAAUCCAAGGAAAUUAUUUACAAUGGAA